AAGUCGUAACAAGGUUUCCGUAGGUGAACCUGCGGAAGGAUCAUCCUUUGGUUCUUCUCCGAGGACACCAAGUGCUGCAACCAGGGGUCUCUUGGAAUCAUUGUACUUCUUGGGAGAACGGACUACCCGCGCUUCGGGCGUUGGGUUUCGUACGUCUUCGGGAAGUCGCGCUCUUUGCUGGUUACUAGACGAAUUAAGUUUCCGCGACGUUUUGUGGGCGUCCCCCCCGUGGUUUAUAUUUUACCGCGGCAAAACUUGACAACUUUUAACCAACCGUGCUUCAGCCAAAAGCUGGAGUCGGAAACCCGAACAACUGUUAGCAAUGGAUAUCUUGGCUCUC
rnacentral:misc_RNA from 1 species